GUGAAUCAUCGAAUCUUUGAACGCACAUUGCGCCCCUUGGUAUUCCAUGGGGCAUGCCUGUUCGAGCGUCAUUUGUACCCUCAAGCUCUGCUUGGUGUUGGGUGUUUGUCCCGCCUUGUGCGUGGACUCGCCUCAAAGCCAUUGGCAGCCGGCGUACUAGCCUGGGAGCGCAGCACAUUUUGCGUCUCUCGACUGGAAUACUGGCGUCCAUUAAGCGUACAUUUUUGCUCUUGACCUCGGAUCAGGUAGGGAUACCCGCUGAACUUAAGCAUAUCAAUAAGCGGAGGA
rnacentral:misc_RNA from 1 species